GAUGAACGCUGGCGGCGUGCCUAAUACAUGCAAGUCGAGCGAAUGGAUUAAGAGCUUGCUCUUAUGAAGUUAGCGGCGGACGGGUGAGUAACACGUGGGUAACCUGCCCAUAAGACUGGGAUAACUCCGGGAAACCGGGGCUAAUACCGGAUAACAUUUUGAACCGCAUGGUUCGAAAUUGAAAGGCGGCUUCGGCUGUCACUUAUGGAUGGACCCGCGUCGCAUUAGCUAGUUGGUGAGGUAACGGUUCACCAAGGCAACGAUGCGUAGCCGACCGGGGAGGGUGAUCGGCCACACUGGGACUGGGACACGGCCCAGACUCCUACGGGAGGCAGCAGUAGGGAAUCUUACGCAAUGGACGAAAGUCUGACGGAGCAACGCCGCGUGAGUGAUGAAGGCUUUCGGGUCGUAAAACUCUGUUGUUAGGGAAGAACAAGUGCUAGUUGAAUAAGCUGGCACCUUGACGGUACCUAACCAGAAAGCCACGGCUAACUACGUGCCAGCCGCCGCGGUAA
rnacentral:rRNA from 1 species